AAAAAAAAUGUCCACCUGAUUGAUGUCAUGUGGGGGGAGGGGCGGAGAUUCUGUGGUAGAUGGAUAGGGGUCUCUAAUCAACCUUUUGACCAAUGACGAGACAGCCGGGAGGACUAAAGUUAGUAUAUUAGAGACUUUGCAUAGUCAGUCUGAUUUUUACCAAACAAAUAUCGUCAUGCAAAUAAAGAUAUUAUCAAUGUAUUCAUUAUUUUACUUUUUUUUUUACUAAUUCCUGGAUUUGUGAAUGACAGUUGACUAAAUCGACGGCCACAGAGUUACUGACAGGGCAAUUAGACUAAGCAAGUCAGCUAUCUGAAUUAUUCUAGAUAAGGAGGGCAUGUGGUUCACAGUGAUUGACUGUCCUAAGGUUUGGACCACUGGCUCUCCCUCUUCUACAGAGCUUGGCUUUCCCGUUGAUUUAUUUAUCAGAGAGUAGGUGUGAGAAACAAAAAGAAGCCGGUCUCCUGACCGUUUGAGUAGAAACGGUUCUGAUAUGAGCCACAGGUCAAAAUAAAAAAUCGGGUUGGGUUAAAGCUAAAUGAGAGUUUGGAAAAAGUUUUUUUUUGUUUCUCUAGGAUCACAACCACAGCAACAUUUGUGGAUUAGAUAUGUUUUAUCACUCAUUGUUUUAAUCAUCUUAGCUGGAGCGGAAUUAGUGGAAUAGCAUCAAAUACAUCGAACACAUGGUGUUUGAUGCCAUUCCAUUCGCUCCAUUCGGGCCAUUAUAAUGAGCCGUUCUCCCCUCAGCAGCCUCCUGUGGUACGACCUCGGGUUCAUUCAGUUCCAUUCAAAAGGGCCAAGAGUGAACUGAACAUGACAGAACAUCCCAAUUUCCUCAGCAAACAAACAAAGGGUGGGGUGGCCAGUCAUCUCAUUAACCCUCAGUAUAUGGAGAAGAAUGCGGUGACAACUCCAAGCCCGAGUCAUUCAUGAGCUGACACUGAGGGCCCAGGAGAACUGGCCCUUCUAGGAGGGCUGGAUGCGGUAACGAGGCCCAGAUUCUUGCUCCCUUUUGCACUUCCUCUCAAUUGGUGGCCAGUCAGAACAAGUCAAGGUUAACAGUGCCAUCUACAGUAGAGAGGCUGCCUCUCUCCAACAGUGUUUUACAGGAAAUGAGGGGUUGAGAGAGCGGUACAGUACUCGGUCAUGAUGACCCAUCUCUAAAAGCAAGAGUGUGUUGUUACAGUUUUGUUAAAGUGUUAGCUGUGGUGUUUUCCACAACUUGGAAACCUAACUCUUCAGAUGGAGGUUGAAUUUGUAUAAUCGUGACAUCCUUUUCAGAGUCAAACAAAUUCAAUGCAUUAUUUUCAAAUUAGAUAUAUAUAUAUAUAUAUAAAAAAUUGAUCUGUGGAAUUAGAGUUGAUUGUAAUUAUUUUUUAUACAAAAAUUGAUAAUUUGAUUAUAUAGUAUAUACCUAAUCAACUAGGAAGUGUGAUCAAUUGAUUAUACAAAAAUCAAAAUACAUGAAUACUGAUGGACCCAGAAUGACACAUAUUCAAUGAUUAAUUUGGGCAAUAUAUGACAGACUUCAGAGUCCAAACAGAUCAGGGCCUCGGCCAUUGGGCCGUGGUGGGAAAAAAGCUUAAUACAGCUAUCACUGUUUGUCCUCACCCUUAUCCCAUUCUCCUUAAUCCACUCCACAACGCUGUGCUCUCCCACUUACCGGAAGCUCCAACAUUUACCUCAGGAUUUACCAGGUUUG
rnacentral:lncRNA from 13 species